UACACGACUGAUGACUUGAAGCAGGAGAGUAUUUCGUUAACAAUUUCAAAAUGCUCAUCACUAGCUCGAUGUCGUAUUAUGACAAGAGGUUGAGACUUAGGGUUCACUUUAGGACCAUGCAUGGAAUGACAAGAUAUGAUGUCCACAUCCUCAGGCAAGUAUUUUUCAAAUGCAUUCAUCUCUGGAGCCUUACAUGAUGUUUGACCUCCGACAAUCGCUCCAACUUUAGUUGCAGGCCCAUAUAGAGCAACAACUUUAUCAAUAUGUUCAGCUUCAACACUGUACAGAAUGUAGUCACUCGUUCGUGAAACUUGAAAUCCAUCCUUUAAAACGGUAUAUCCCCCAUUUCCAUAAGUCGCUUGUAUUGAUUCGUAAUUUUCCGGUCGAUCACAAACAUUUACUCUAUUUAUGAUGUUAGAAGGUGCUAAUAGAAAAAGUCCCUAAAGGCACUUUGAAAAGGAGAGCUAAUUGUAGAUUGUAGAACAAAAAUUAUUUACUUACCUCCAUCCUGCCUUACUGAUGUACUCUGCAUACAAGCGACCCAUAUCGCCAAAUCCUAUGAUGCCGACCUGAAAAGUCUCUUUCAUUUUCCCAAAAUCGAAUCCCAUUCUGUAUAAUUUCUUUGGAUUUUCAAAUAAAUAUUAUUUUAACUUUAGUAAAAAUAGAGAAACUUUUUUAACUAACAUAUAGUGACUUUUGCUUAUAUAUCAAAGGAUGGUGGUAACUAAGGGUAAUGUGAAUAAGCAGAAUCGUUAUGAUACUGAUUGAUACACAAGUGGAAAACUAUCUAAAUACAAUUUUUGGUUAUUUUUUGAUAUUCUACUUAUAACUUCAUACUUCUUGAUAGCAUUUGAAUAAAGUAUUGAUUGUACUCGAAUUAAUAUAUAUGAGCAGCUAAUUGUGGAAUCUGCAUAAUCUGAG